AUGGCAGCUGCUCGCGUCGGCAUUGUGCUCCUGGUAGUCAUGGUCAUCGCCGCGCAGCUCGUGGCCACGCCGGAACCUCGCCUGAUCCAGCACCCGGCGGUUGCACUUGCACACGCCGCCGCCAACGGCAAACCGGCUGGCGUCCCGCCGUCCAAGUGGAACAUGCCAAGGACGCUCGGCGCAGUGAAGAGGACGGUUCCCGGCGGCCCAGACCCACAGCACCAUUACUAA
rnacentral:rRNA from 1 species